rfam:Pteropus alecto contig92202, whole genome shotgun sequence.
CAAAUGGAUUUAUUAAAAUCUAAACACACAUGCUGAAAUGAGAAGU